rnacentral:lncRNA from 1 species
GCCGCUUCGCCUCUCUCCACCCUCGCAAGGUAAGUUUGUUUAGGUAGGGCUUUUCUUUGCUUUAGGAGUAAGACAGAGAUUUGGAAAGCGAAGCUGCUUGCAACGAGCUAAGAGGUAUGCUAGAGGCGAUCAAGAAAUCGUGUUGAAACUCUCAACGCUUGAAGACACCUCUUUUCGAUUGCAACGCAAAAGGGAGCCAGUGACACAACAAACAACUCAAACAAGCAAAGUGCAAGACAACGGGCCAAGGAACUCUCAACGCGAAGGGAAACUCACCGAUGUGGACACCGCUGUUGAACAAAACUAACGAUCAACGAUACUUAUUUUCACGUUGCCAGGUUUGCGUGUGUUUCGAUUUGUUCUAAUUUCUUGUCAUGAAGAAGCCAAGUGACAUGCUGGUGCUGCUCAACGACGAUAAGAACUGAAAAACUCCCAUGUCACAGUGUGUGCCAAGAAGAGAAGAGAUUGGAGAGAUUUUGUGUCAACGUUUUGAAGCUUUGAGUUGUGUUGUUGCUGCGCUCAACGCAAGAUCUGCGAGCUGAGAAACAACGUUGGGAAACUGCGAUCUUCAGAACUUAAAUCCAGCUGAAGUUCUACAUGACAAUGGUCCAACCUCAAUGAAAACAACGAUCAGGGCCGGUCAAGGAUCAGCGACGGAUCAAGUCCACUCUCACCUCGCAAGGUAAGUUCGUUUAGAGUAAGACAACGAAACAAGAGAGAUUUGCUGGAGACAAGACAGCGAAGCUGCUUGCAACGAGCUAAGAG